GAUGAACGCUGGCGGCGUGCUUAACACAUGCAAGUCGAACGAUGAAGCCGGAGCUUGCUCUGGUGGAUUAGUGGCGAACGGGUGAGUAACACGUGAGUAACCUGCCCUUGACUCUGGGAUAAGCGCUGGAAACGGCGUGUAAUACCGGAUACGAGCUUCCACCGCAUGGUGAGUUGCUGGAAAGAAUUUCGGUCAAGGAUGGACUCGCGGCCUAUCAGCUUGUUGGUGAGGUAACGGCUCACCAAGGCGACGACGGGUAGCCGGCCGGGGAGGGGGACCGGCCACACUGGGACUGAGACACGGCCCAGACUCCUACGGGGGGCAGCAGUGGGGAAUAUUGCACAAUGGGCGCAAGCCUGAUGCAGCAACGCCGCGUGAGGGACGAAGGCCUUCGGGUCGUAAACCUCUUUUAGCAGGGAAGAAGCGAAAGUGACGGUACCUGCAGAAAAAGCACCGGCUAACUACGUGCCAGCCGCCGCGGUAA
rnacentral:rRNA from 1 species